rnacentral:rRNA from 1 species
UGGGGAAUUUUGGACAAUGGGGGCAACCCUGAUCCAGCCAUGCCGCGUGUGUGAAGAAGGCCUUCGGGUUGUAAAGCACUUUCGGCCGGAACGAAAUCGCGCGGAUGAACAAUCCGCGUGGAUGACGGUACCGGAAGAAGAAGCACCGGCUAACUACGUGCCAGCAGCCGCGGUAAUACGUAGGGUGCGAGCGUUAAUCGGAAUUACUGGGCGUAAAGUGUGCGCAGGCGGCCGCGCAAGUCGAGUGUGAAAGCCCCGAGCUUAACUUGGGAACUGCGCUCGAAACUACGUGGCUGGAGUGUGGCAGAGGAAGGUGGAAUUCCACGUGUAGCGGUGAAAUGCGUAGAGAUGUGGAGGAACACCGAUGGCGAAGGCAGCCUUCUGGGCCAACACUGACGCUCAUGCACGAAAGCGUGGGGAGCAAACAGGAUUAGAUACCCUGGUAGUCCACGCCCUAAACGAUGACGACUAGUUGUUGGAGGAGUUAAAUCCUUUAGUAACGCAGCUAACGCGUGAAGUCGUCCGCCUGGGGAGUACGGUCGCAAGAUUAA